UGAGGAAUAUUGGACAAUGGUCGAAAGACUGAUCCAGCCAUGCCGCGUGCAGGAAGACGGCCCUACGGGUUGUAAACUGCUUUUUUACGGGAAGAAUAAUGCCCACGUGUGGGCAGAUGACGGUACCGUACGAAUAAGGACCGGCUAACUCCGUGCCAGCAGCCGCGGUAAUACGGAGGGUCCGAGCGUUAUCCGGAAUCAUUGGGUUUAAAGGGUCCGCAGGCGGGCCAGUAAGUCAGGGGUGAAAGUUUGCGGCUCAACCGUAAAAUUGCCUUUGAUACUGCUGGUCUUGAGUUGUGGUGAAGUGGCCGGAAUAUGUGGUGUAGCGGUGAAAUGCAUAGAUAUCACAUAGAACACCGAUUGCGAAGGCAGGUCACUAACCACACACUGACGCUGAUGGACGAAAGCGUGGGGAGCGAACGGG
rnacentral:rRNA from 1 species